GCGACGCGUGUCACGUGGUUCUGAUGUUGACACCCACAAUAUGGAAGUAUUCUCUUGAUGUGUGCACAACUAUCCGGUCGUGUUUGCACAUUGGUGCCUCGCAGCUGCCAUUCUUCUUGAUGGCAGUGAAAUCUCAGCAACAGUGGUGGGCGGUCGGGGCCCUCCAGUCCAGACCAGCCCACUGACUGACCUCACGCGAAAGGGUGCUCCAGAGCUGGUCCGGUGGACGGAGCAGUGCCAGCCCUAUGCGAGGAGCCGCUACUGCACAAGCCUAACUUUGCCAUCCCCUUCUGUCCGCGGGCAGACCUGUUGGGCAGGGGACUGGGAGCGGUGCUUUCCCAGCGGGUGGAGACCAUCGACCAGCACGUACUAUACAUCAGCCGGAAGCUCUCGGACCUGGAGGCGAGAUACAGCACGGUGGGGAGGGAGUGCCUUGCCAUCCGGUGGGCGGUCGGGGACCUCCGGUACUACAUGUUGGGGUGCUCAUUCAGCCUCUGCUCGGAUCACAAACCCCUCCAGUGGCUCCACCGCAUGGAGGAUGCCGACGCACGGAUCACCCGGUGGUAUCUCGCCAUGCAACCCUACAACUUCCGAGUGGUCCACAGGCCGGGUGCGCAGAUGGCCGUGGCCGACUUCCUUUCGCGCUCCUCUACGGAGGGGUGAAGUGGGAGCGGGUGGGGGGGAGUAGUUGCAGCCAGACGGCUGCCCAGCCUGAGUCUGGAGGUGGAGGCAUGUGGAGGGGGCGUGAUCCGCCCGUCUCCAGCGGGAAGGGUGUGUGCAGGAGCAGCUGACAGCGGCGUCCGAGGCCAUGAGGGGGAGAGCAGACAGAGCGGCGAGGCCAGGUGAUCGAGCCAACUGAAGAAAACAAACAAAAAUAAAAAUAAAAGACUCUUUGGACCCUGAA